GAAGUGCGAUAAGCAAUGCGAAUUGCAGAACCGUGAGUCAUCAGAUCUUUGAACGCAACUGGCGCUGGAUGGCUAUCCAUCCAGCAUGCUUGUUUCAGUGUCUUAUUCUCUCAUAACCUAAAUCUUAAUGCUAGAGAUACCCUUCUCUUGCUAAGUACGAAAGCACUCUGAGCCCUGCAGGUGAUUUAGCUUCGGCUAAGGUCACACUCAAUGCAGCAGUCACAUUAACAAUGUGAACUCAUUGAGAGUAGAGUCAGCGCAGCUAGUCUGCAAGUGCUUAGACCCUUAAACUCUUUUAGCAUCUGAAAUCAAGCAGGAUCACCCGCUGAACUUAA
rnacentral:misc_RNA from 1 species